rnacentral:rRNA from 1 species
AGGACGAACGCUGGCGGCGUGCUUAACACAUGCAAGUGGAGCGACGAACCAGGGCUUGCCCUGGGGCAGAGCCGCGAACGGGUGAGUAACACGUGGGUUACCUGCCCCAAUGACCGGGACAACCCGAGGAAACUCGAGCUAAUACCGGAUGUGGUCUUCGGACUAAAGGAGCUUCGGCCUCCGCAUUGGGAUGGGCCCGCGGCGCAUUAGCUUGUUGGUGGGUAACGCCUACCAAGGCGACGAUGCGUAGCUGGUCUGAGAGGACGAUCAGCCACACUGGGACUGAGACACGGCCCAGACUCCUACGGGAGGCAGCAGUGGGAAUCUUGCGCAAUGCGCGAAAGCGUGACGCAGCAACGCCGCGGUGGGGGAAGACGGCCUUCGGGUUGUAAACCUUCUUUACAGUUGGACGAAGCCUUGCGGUUAAGUACGCCGUAGGAGGUGACGGUACCUUCGAGAAGUAACGCCCGGACUAACGUACCGUG